rnacentral:rRNA from 1 species
GUCUACGGCCAUGCCACCCUGAACAAGACCGAUCCCAUCUGAUCUUGGAAGUUAAGCAGGGUUGGGCCGGUUAGUACUUGGAUGGGAGACCACCUAGGAAAACCAGGUGCUGUAGGUG